rnacentral:rRNA from 1 species
AGAGUUUGAUCCUGGCUCAGGACGAACGCUGGCGGCGUGCUUAACACAUGCAAGUCGAACGGAAAGGCCCUUCGGGGUACUCGAGUGGCGAACGGGUGAGUAACACGUGGGUGAUCUGCCCUGCACUUUGGGAUAAGCCUGGGAAACUGGGUCUAAUACCGAAUAUGACCACGCUCUUCAUGGGGUGUGGUGGAAAGCUUUUGCGGUGUGGGAUGGGCCCGCGGCCUAUCAGCUUGUUGGUGGGGUAAUGGCCUACCAAGGCGACGACGGGUAGCCGGCCUGAGAGGGUGACCGGCCACACUGGGACUGAGAUACGGCCCAGACUCCUACGGGAGGCAGCAGUGGGGAAUAUUGCACAAUGGGCGCAAGCCUGAUGCAGCGACGCCGCGUGAGGGAUGACGGCCUUCGGGUUGUAAACCUCUUUCACCAGGGACGAAGCGCGAGUGACGGUACCUGGAGAAGAAGCACCGGCCAACUACGUGCCAGCAGCCGCGGUAAUACGUAGGGUGCGAGCGUUGUCCGGAAUUACUGGGCGUAAAGAGCUCGUAGGUGGUUUGUCGCGUUGUUCGUGAAAACUCACAGCUUAACUGUGGGCGUGCGGGCGAUACGGGCAGACUAGAGUACUGCAGGGGAGACUGGAAUUCCUGGUGUAGCGGUGGAAUGCGCAGAUAUCAGGAGGAACACCGGUGGCGAAGGCGGGUCUCUGGGCAGUAACUGACGCUGAGGAGCGAAAGCGUGGGGAGCGAACAGGAUUAGAUACCCUGGUAGUCCAA